rnacentral:miRNA from 14 species
CAGUACAGUAUAGUACAGUACAGUACAGUAUAGCACAGUACAGUAUAGUACAGUAUAGUACAGUACAGUAUAGUACAGCACAGUAUAGUACAGUACAGUAUAGUACAGUACA